CGGCUUCAGGGGAACUCCGGCUGAGCGGGACGCGGAGCGGGGACGGCCAGAGUCUGGGGUUCGGGGCUGCCCCAGCACUAGCGGCCCCCCAGGGCUUCCUCCCCUCAAACGUUCGCGUCCUCCACCCUAGGCUGAUGCAGCGGAGGCCGGGUCGGAGGGGAGCUAGGGAGCCCCGGAGAAGAUAGAGGAGCCGUGACUUUGGCGCGCGGACCUCCUGGGGGGAAAAGAGAACCCGAGAUCACCUUCAGGAACCUGGUACCUUUCAUGGCAUAUGCGGCUGGAGUUUACUCUGUGACCCUCAUUUUAUUCAUCACAUGGCUGUUAAUGAAGGCAGAAAUAGAAGUUUGCAAGAAGGGAGUUGUAACUGUGAGUCCCGCCCGGACAGUUUUGUUUGGAUCCACCAUCAACAUUUCAUGCUCUUUGAAACCCAAAGAAGGCUGUUCACACCCUUCUAAUUUCCAAAAGUUAACCUUCUACCAAAAUCGACUUCGGGUUCACUCCCAGAAGAGCCACUUACUCACCAUGCAAGUCUCCAAUCUCCGCCUUGGAACAACUGUGUUUGUGUGCAAGGUCUCGUGUGGCGGCCACGUGGAGAGCCAAGUGUGCGGGGCCGACAUCUCUGUUGGCGUCACUCCAGAGCAGCCCCAAAACCUCUCCUGUAGCCAGCUUGGAGAGCAUGGGAACGUGGUCUGCACCUGGAAUAAAGGAAGAGACACCCACCUGUACACCGUGCACAUUCUGCAGCUGACAGGGCCAAACAAUUUGGAUUUGGAGAAACAACGUGCUCCGUAUGGGGAUGAUUUAGAUCUUGGAAUAAGCCUGAGCCCAGCUUCUCCUGAAGCCAAUUACACAGCCAAAGUUGUUGCUUCGAACAGCCUCGGGAAUUCUUCUUCCCUCCCUUUGGUGUUCUCCUUCAUGGACAUAGUGAAGCCUCUUCCUCCGAGUGACAUCAGAGCCGACUUUCCCAAUUUGUCGGCCAACCUGUGUACCUUACAGUGGCAGGACCAAGGACCAGCGGUGCUAAAUCGCCUCCAGUUCCGGCCAGUCCAUGAAAAUGCCUGGAAAACGGUUCACAUCACUAACUCUGGAGGAAGAUAUGAUCUGUACAACCUGAAACCAUUUACAGAGUAUGAAUUUCAGAUUUCCUCCAAGCUGCAUUCUGUCAAAGGAAGAUGGAGUGACUGGAGCAAGUUACUGAGGACUCAGACUCCGAAAGAAGAACCAGUUGGAAUGUUGGACGUGUGGCACAUGGUGGAUGACCUGGAAGGUGGCCUACGAAAUAUUUCUCUGUUUUGGAAGAAUAUGAGUGUGUCGGAAGCCAGGGGAAACAUCCUCAGGUACCAGGUGACUAUCCGGGAGGUGACCAGGAACAGUUCGGACGUGCCCCAUACCCUGGAGAACUUUACCUCACACACUCACUUUGCCGUGGUUCUGCCCCAGAAGGACUAUGCUGUGGCUGUCUCUGCAGUUAACUCGGAAGGAAGCUCCUCUCCCUCUUGGACCUUCAUCCCCCGUCAGCCCCGCGAAGCUCCUCGAAACGUCUUGGCCAAACCUCAGGGGACAGAUGGUAUCAGGGUGACUUGGGAGCCUCCUCAUGGAGCUGCCACCUUGGUCAAGGAGUAUUUGGUGGAGUGGAGAGCCCUUGGCACGGGCAACAGCCCGUCCUCGCCCAUCAACUGGGGCCGACUUCCCACUGUCAACAUGUCCACCGUGAUAUCAGAACACGUAAGACCCCACCUGUGUUACCAGAUCCGCCUGUGCGCCCUGUGGGGGGAUGGAGCCGGCUGCGCCAGGACCUGGGCUGAUCUGACCAGCAAAGAACCCCUGACCGGCCCCCGUGUCCAAAACGCCACAGCGGGCAAAGGCACAGCGUCCGUUACCUGGGACGAAAUCCCUGCUCAGGAGCAAAUGGGCUGCCUCCUCCAUUACAAGAUCUACCUGCAGGAGCCGCGCUCCCAGUCCCCGUCUCACAUCUUCGAAAUUCCCUACGAGGUGGCAAACACUUCGAGGCUGAUCAGAGGCCUCCGGCCUGGAGUCACGUAUGUCUUGUGGAUGACCGCCUCCACAGCAGCGGGAGAGGGCCCCCGAGGGAAUGAGAGGGAGCUUUCCCUGGAAGAUGCUCCCAAUUGGAACAUCCUGGCGGUGCCGAUUGCCGUAGCCCUGAUUGCGGUGGGGAUUUUCUCUAGGCCUCGAGUUCGAGCAAAAGUGAUGUCUGUCUUCUCGGCACUACAACCCCAGUGGUAUAAUCAAGAGAUUCCAGACCCGGCCAACAGCAUAUGGGCCAAGAAAUACUCCCUCAUGGAGGAUGAAAUGCAGCUCCAUUUUGAAAGUCUCUCAAACAACUGGACCAAUUCUGAAGAACCCGAAACUCUGGAAGUCAAAGAAGUUCUCCAAAAACCAGCCCCAACCCUCCAGGAGACACAUCCCUCUUGUUGGCCAAGAAACCAAGAGCUCCAUGAGCCAGGCAGAGAAAGCUGGCUUCAGGUUCCAAAACCCUUUGAAGCUGGAGCAGAAUAUGGCGUCUCCCACCCCUCAACGCCAGGAUCACACCGGGCUGACAAAGGACAAGUGGCUGAUCCAUACAGGGCGAUGGGGUCUGGGGGACCAAAGGCAGAAGACCCAGGCAGCCACCUUAGGGACAUCCCCGUGGUCUACCUGCCUGCCAACAUAGAUUACUUACCUUCCAACCUGGAUUACCUGCCUUCCACUGCUCCUGACCCUCUAGAAGACAGUGAGCUGCAGGGCCUGUCUUUCUCCAUCUUCCCAAAGGGCUCUUUUCACCCACUCCCCUGUGGAGAGAAGCUGACUCUGGACAGAGUUAAGAUUGACCCUGGGCCCAUCGCUCACUAACUGCCCGUGUGCUCCAGCCUUUCCUGGAUGCCGUCAUCACACUCUCCACCCCAUGGCCUGGUUACCUUGCAGAGUGGCAGUGCAUCCGAUUGUCCAGUACUCAAAGCAGCGCAGGGGGCUUUCCCCACCUGGGCAGCGCCCAGCCAGCUCACGGAACCAAGGAUGACUCGUGUUUCACCUUCAAAGUGUGCACCCCAUACCAAUUUUAUUACUAGAAUGUAAGCCUCUUGAGGGCAGGGGCUGUAUGCCGUUGUUCAUUUUUGCACCCACAGCAUUCUAGGGGUUUAAUCAAAGCUUCUUCUGACUGGCCUUCUUCCUCAGAAAGCUUUAGGAGGAACCACUGAAUCGACUUGAUUCUGGAAAUAACACGGUUGCCCAUUCAUUGGGUGAUUAGAUAAAAACAAACUAUUUUAUAGGAAUGUAAUGAAAUAAUGCUGUGCACUGAGCAAUGAGGAAUUCAGAGAAAUGGGGGAAGAUUUGCAGGAAUCACUGCAGAAAGAAGUGAGUGGAAACAUACCUCAUUACCAUUAUACCGAAGAUGAGAAAGACGGACAAGAAGCGGAAUUCUGAGUCGAGGGAAAAAACACCGACAAGUCCUGCAGGAGAGAUGACAAAACCUAUCCCCUCCCUCAGAGCCGAGAGGUGGAGGCCUACAGGGACACAACACUGCGUUUGCUAAGAAGCCAGCUUUCUUUGUUACAAGGGGGAAGGAAGACAAUCUGGAGAAGGGCAAUGAGAAAUGAUGUAAGGGUAAGUGGGGAGGCCGAUACAUUCAGAAGCUAAAAUGAUGAAAAACAAAGUUUUCCAAGAUAUACAGUCUUUUUUUUGGGGGGGAAACCAAGGUCAAGAUCGGGGCAAAAAUAAAAGUUGCCACAUCAUGGUUUGUCUCCCAAUUCGUGUGUGUGCCCAAUGUUUACAGAACUGCUACUCUGGAAGGUACUUCUCCACAGCGGACAGAGCACUCAGGCUGGAAGUCAGGAAGACCUGGGUGUGAAUCCUGC